UCUUAUGGGUGAGUAAAAAAGUGGUUUCUUGAGAUGGAAUCUACUCCUGGAGAAGAUGCUGUGAA
rnacentral:pre_miRNA from 1 species